rnacentral:rRNA from 1 species
AGUGAACGCUGGCGGUAGGCCUAACACAUGCAAGUCGAACGGCAGCACAGUAAGAGCUUGCUCUUACGGGUGGCGAGUGGCGGACGGGUGAGGAAUACAUCGGAAUCUACUUUUUCGUGGGGAAUAACGUAGGGAAACUUACGCUAAUACCGCAUACGACCUACGGGUGAAAGCAGGGGAUCUUCGGACCUUGCGCGAUUGAAUGAGCCGAUGUCGGAUUAGCUAGUUGGCGGGGUAAAGGCCCACCAAGGCGACGAUCCGUAGCUGGUCUGAGAGGAUGAUCAGCCACACUGGAACUGAGACACGGUCCAGACUCCUACGGGAGGCAGCAGUGGGGAAUAUUGGACAAUGGGCGCAAGCCUGAUCCAGCCAUACCGCGUGGGUGAAGAAGGCCUGCGGGUUGUAAAGCCCUUUUGUUGGGAAAGAAAAGCAGCAGGUUAAGACCCCGCUGUUCUGACGGUACCCAAAGAAUAAGCACCGGCGAACUUCGU